rnacentral:miRNA from 1 species
AAAAUCGUCACUCCUGCAUAU